UUAUUUCUAUUAUUUCUAUUGGAUAAAACACCUUUAAAACAUCUUGUUUUAAAACACCUUGUUUGUUUGUUUGUUUGUUUUGUUUUGUUUGUUUGUUUUUGUUUGGUUGGUUUUUGUCCUGUUUACUCUGGAGAAAUAACAAUGCUGCAGCCUUACUAUUUUCUUUCUACUAUGACAGAAGACAAACCUUUCUGAAAAAUGUCGUCACACGGCUGAUUUCUGUUGUUGGACACCCAGUGGCCCAUCUCAGAGACUUGGGAUCAGUUAUUUCUGCAUUUUGGAAGUAUAUAACCUGCAAGUGAGAAAUACAAGGUGUCUAGUCCAAAGGGGACAGGAGUCUGCUAGCGAUCCAAGGGACAUUCCUUUAUGUGUUUAUGGACAUUCAUCAUGACUCCCUUUAGUCUUUUCCUCUCCAGACAGGACGUGCCUGGUUCUCUGGAACUUCAGUGGUAAGAAGCCUGAGGCAGAAAGAUGAAUAUGUUACAAAAGACAUAAAUAUGGGCUUUUUUUUUUUUUUUUUUUUUUUUUUUUUUUUAAGGUAACAGAGAAGACUGGGCUUUUUUCAUUGCCAAAGAUUCAAUAACCAACUUUCACUAAUAUGAAGGGUGGGAAGGUAAAUCAGUAAAUAAAACUGGUAAAACUACAAUGAGUUAUGAAGGC
rnacentral:lncRNA from 1 species